ACAAUACCAGUUGUAGCAUGGAUAUUGAUGCUGGUAACCAGGAAGAGGGAAAAAAUGUUCUCCCGGCUGCUGCUACAAGUGUAGAUGUAGGGAACACACCUGUAUCUUCAGAUCAAGCUGUCUCGAAUGAAGGGAGUGAUGCGGUUCAGGCACCUGUAUCUUCAGAUCAAGCUGUCUCGAAUGAAGGGAGUGACGCGGUUCACGCACCUGUAUCUUCGGAUGAAGCUGCGUCAAAUGAAGAGAGCGGCGCGGUUCCUGAAUAAAACAUCUUCCGCAUACCUCAUCUGCAGCGGAUGUCACAAGCAUGAUGCCAAAGGUGACUACUGAACACUAGCUCGCGUGCCAUGUUUGUUUUGUUAAUUUUCGUUUUGACUCUCUGCUGGUCUGAACAUUUGUGGAAGUAAAACCUGAUAUUUACAGUUUUCUAUUGAAAAUAUGAACUUGAGGAAACAGGUCAUCCCGCUAGUGGUGCUUUUGACCUUUUUUUUAUGGGCCACGCUUCGGGUCUGGGUUUCGAAGAAGCACCCAUGUUUGACCUGAUCAUGUGGGGCAAAAUAUCACCGUCUUUUGUGGUGGUGGCUGCAGCCGGUGUUUGUGGGAUGUGGGAUUAUAACUGCUGCUGUUGCGCUGCUGGUGCUGUUCAUGUUGCUAGUGCUACUUGCGAUAUGAUUUUCAAGAUGUGGCGCUUUAGCUUUGCUCAUGUUGGUCAUGUCUGUUAGCCUCACUGGUUUCAAGAGGUUUUAAGAAUAAAAAACUGCUCCUUGUGUGUG
rnacentral:lncRNA from 1 species